rnacentral:rRNA from 1 species
UGCGCAGGCGGCUCCGCAUGUCGGGCGUGAAAUCCCCGGGCUUAACCUGGGAAUUGCGUCCGAAACUAUGGAGCUGGAGUGUGGCAGAGGGAGGUGGAAUUCCACGUGUAGCGGUGAAAUGCGUAGAGAUGUGGAGGAACACCGAUGGCGAAGGCAGCCUCCUGGGCCAACACUGACGCUCAUGCACGAAAGCGUGGGGAGCAAACA